UUUAUUGAGAGUUUGAUCCUGGCUCAGGAUGAACGCUGGCGGCGUGGAUAAGGCAUGCAAGUCGUGAGGGUUUAGACCCUCGGCAAACGGGUUAGUAACGCAUAGGAACAUUCCUUGGAGACGCGUAUAAUUCAUCGAAAGGUGAAAUAAUUCGCGAUACUAUCUACGGAUUAAAGCCCCGAUUUAUCGGGGCGCUUCAAGAGUGGCCUGUGUCCUAUCAGCUAGUUGGUGCGGUAAUGGCGUACCAAGGCUAUGACGGGUAGGGGGUGUGAGAGCACGACCCCCAACAUUGGGACUGAGACACUGCCCAAACUCCUACGGGAGGCUGCAGUCGAGAAUAUUUGUCAAUGCGCGAAAGCGUGAACGAGCGACGCCGCGUGCGGGAUGAAGGCCCUAGGGUUGUAAACCGCUUUUAUAGAAGAAAAAAUUGUGUUUCACUAUUGUUUUGUUGUUUCUAGAAAUUCGAUAAAGGCAAUUUAUCAGUGAAUUUUUAAUUUUUAAUUUUGUAAAUAAAUCUUAAUUUUUAAAUUUUUAAACAUUAUGAGAUUUAAAAUUAUUUAAAAAUUACAAAAUUUAAAAAUUUGAAUUGCUUUAAUAAUGAUCAGUACUGAAUUAAUAACGAAACCAUUGUGAAGCACAAUUGAUUGUAUUCUAUGAAUAAGAGGUUACUAACUCUGUGCCAGCAGUAGCGGUAAUACAGAGACCUCAAGCGUUAUCCGGAUUUAUUGGGCGUAAAGAGCGGGUAGGCGGUCUUAUUAGUCAGAUGUCAAAUCUUCGAGCUCAACUCGAAAACUGCAUUUGAAACGGUAAGACUUGAGAAUGUGAGAGAUAAGUGGAACUUAUGGUGUAGCAGUGAAAUGCGUUGAUAUCAUAGGGAACACCAAAGGCGAAGGCAUCUUAUUAGCACAUUUCUGACGCUGAGCCGCGAAAGCGUGGGUAGCGAAUGGGAUUAGAUACCCCAGUAGUCCACGCCCUAAACGAUGGGUGCUAGGUAUUGGAAGUUUCGACCCUUCCAGUGCCGUCGUAACAAGCUAACGCGUUAAGCACCCCGCCUGGGUAGUACGGUCGCAAGACUAAAACUCAA
rnacentral:rRNA from 1 species